rnacentral:rRNA from 1 species
UACGUAGGUGGCAAGCGUUGUCCGGAUUUACUGGGCGUAAAGGGCGCGUAGGCGGCUUUUCAAGUGGCGGGUGAAAUCCCUCAGCUUAACUGGGGAACUGCGUCUGAUACUGGAUGGCUAGAGUCCGGAAGAGGAGAGUGGAAUUCCUGGUGUAGCGGUGAAAUGCGCAGAGAUCGGGAGGAACAUCUGUGGCGAAGGCGACUGCCUGGACCAGCACUGACACUGAGGCACGAAAGCGUGGGGAGCAAACAGG